GUGCUCACUUCAGCCAGCACGUAUACUGAAGUCAGAACAAUACAGAGAAGAUUAGCAUGGCCUCUGAGCAAUACCUGAAAAUCAGUGAUGAAUGCUGUAUUAAA
ensembl:snRNA U6 U6 spliceosomal RNA